UACGUAGGGGGCAAGCGUUGUCCGGAAUCAUUGGGCGUAAAGAGCGUGUAGGCGGCCCGGUAAGUCCGCUGUGAAAGUCCAGAGCUCAACCCUGGGAUGCCGGUGGAUACUGUCGGGCUCGAGUCCGGAAGAGGAGUGUGGAAUUCCUGGUGUAGCGGUGAAAUGCGCAGAUAUCAGGAGGAACACCAAUGGCGAAGGCAGCACUCUGGGACGUGACUGACGCUGAGACGCGAAAGCGUGGGGAGCAAACAGG
rnacentral:rRNA from 1 species